rnacentral:misc_RNA from 1 species
GAUGAAGAACGUAGCGAAAUGCGAUAAGUAAUGCGAAUUGCAGAAUUCAGUGAGUCAUCGAAUCUUUGAACGCACAUUGCGCCCUGUGGUAUUCCGCAGGGCAUGCCUGUUCGAGCGUCAUUUCAACCCUCAAGCACAGCUUGGUCUUGGGCUUCGCCGCUAACCCGGCGGGUCUUAAAAUCAGUGGCGGUGCCGUCGGGCCCUGAGCGCAGUAAUCUCUCUCGCUAUAGGGUCCCGGCGGAUGCUGGCCAGUAACCCCCAAUUUUCUAUGGUUGACCUCGGAUCAGGUAGGGAUACCCGCUGAACUUAAGCAUAUCAAUAAGCGGAGGA